rnacentral:tRNA from 1 species
GGAGAGAUGCCGGAGUGGUCGAACGGGACGGUCUCGAAAACCGUUAUAGGCUUUGCCUAUCCAGGGUUCGAAUCCCUGUCUCUCCGCCA